rnacentral:rRNA from 1 species
GAUGAACGCUAGCGGGAGGCUUAACACAUGCAAGUCGAGGGGCAGCAUAGGGUAGCAAUACUCUGAUGGCGACCGGCAAACGGGUGAGUAACGCGUAUGCAACCUACCCUGUACAGGGGGAUAACCCGGAGAAAUUCGGACUAAUAUCCCGUAAUAAUAUCCGGAGGCAUCUUUGGAUAUUUAAAGUUCCGACGGUACGGGAUGGGCAUGCGUAACAUUAACUGGUUGGUAAGGUAACGGCUUACCAAGGCUAUGAUGUUUAGGGGUCCUGAGAGGGUGGUCCCCCACACUGGUACUGAGACACGGACCAGACUCCUACGGGAGGCAGCAGUGAGGAAUAUUGGUCAAUGGGCGCAAGCCUGAACCAGCCAUCCCGCGUGCAGGAAAAGCGGCCCUAUGGGUUGUAAACUGCUUUUCCAGGGAGAGAAACUUACGCACGUGUUGCGUGACUGACGGUACCCUGGGAAUAAGCAUCGGCUAACUCCGUG